UGGGGAAUAUUGGACAAUGGGCGAAAGCCUGAUCCAGCCAUGUCGCGUGUGUGAAGAAGGCCUUUUGGUUGUAAAGCACUUUAAGCGAGGAGGAGGCUACUAGUACUAAUACUACUGGAUAGUGGACGUUACUCGCAGAAUAAGCACCGGCUAACUCUGUGCCAGCAGCCGCGGUAAUACAGAGGGUGCGAGCGUUAAUCGGAUUUACUGGGCGUAAAGCGUGCGUAGGCGGCUAAUUGAGUCGGAUGUGAAAUCCCCGAGCUUAACUUGGGAAUUGCAUUCGAUACUGGUUAGCUAGAGUGUGGGAGAGGAUGGUAGAAUUCCAGGUGUAGCGGUGAAAUGCGUAGAGAUCUGGAGGAAUACCGAUGGCGAAGGCAGCCAUCUGGCCUAACACUGACGCUGAGGUACGAAAGCAUGGGGAGCAAACAGG
rnacentral:rRNA from 1 species